GACGAACGCUGGCGGCGUGCUUAACACAUGCAAGUGGAGCGACGAACCAGGCUUCGGCCUGGGGCAGAGCCGCGAACGGGUGAGUAACACGUGGGUAACCUGCCCUGAUGAUCGGGACAACCCGGGGAAACCCGGGCUAAUACCGAAUGUGCUGCUCUCGCAUCAGUGAGAGUAGGAAAGGAAGCUUCGGCCUCCGCAUCAGGAUGGGCCCGCGGCCCAUUAGCNGUUGGUGAGGUAACGGCUCACCAAGGCUUCGAUGGGUAGCUGGUCUGAGAGGAUGAUCAGCCUCAUUGGGACUGAGACACGGCCCAAACUCCUACGGGAGGCAGCAGUGGGGAAUAUUGGACAAUGGGCGCAAGCCUGAUCCAGCCAUGCCGCGUGGAUGAUGAAGGCCCUAGGGUUGUAAAGUCC
rnacentral:rRNA from 1 species